rnacentral:rRNA from 1 species
UACGUAGGCAGCAAGCGUUGUUCGGAAUUACUGGGCGUAAAGAGUGUGUAGGUGGUGUUCUAAGUCUGUCGUGAAAUCUCCCGGCUUAACUGGGAGGGUGCGGCGGAAACUGGAAUGCUCGAGUAUGGGAGAGGUAAGCGGAAUUCCUGGUGUAGCGGUGAAAUGCGUAGAUAUCAGGAGGAACACCUGUGGUGUAGACAGCUUACUGGACCAUUACUGACACUGAGACACGAAAGCGUGGGUAGCAAACAGG